GAUUAACUUCUGCCUCUAUACUCCUUCUACUAUGCAACCUUCAGAAUGAAGCUUCACAGUUGUGCUGAGAAAUCUGGCAGUUUAGUGUCAUUUACUUUCACAGACGUACAAGACGUUCAAGGGAAGACUACUGGGCAGUAAAUGGACCACAUAUAUGAAGAUAUGAAUCCACUCCAAGCGACGCUUUAGUAAAGAACCUAGGUGGUAAAGAACCACAGAGAUGGGUCACAACAUUUUACUGACAUCCUGGACAGGAUCCUUUGGUGGUGCAGAGCACCUACAUAUGUACGAGGUCUUCCUCCAGAGAAAAAUUUGCCUGUUUUCGAAGGAGAGUGGGUAGACAGACACUGUCUCUCUGAGAGCUAAUGACUAAUUUAAAAGAAAUAUGACCACUCAGGUUGAUCCAAAAAGGUAUCUAAUCUUGUUUUAUCUGGGAUAUUGGGGAGCAGGAGUUUUCCUGACCAUGUGUGAUAACUGAGAGCCGUGAUCCCUGACCCAGAAGGCAGCAUACUGGGCAGGAGGCUAGGAUCCUAUGGAGAGGGGAGAACGCCAUAUGCUUAGAACCCCCACAAUUGGUCAUAUAUUGAAAAAUGUGCAUAAGGUGGCAUGUUUCCAGUGAAUACAUACAGAGUUAUGGGAAACUCAAAAUAACUCUCCUAAGGAAAUUGAAGCCGAUUAUCUUCAGUUUCUGUUUUUAAUCUGGAGUUUACUUGAUGUAUUGAAAAUUCAUACCAAACAACUACAAAAGCAAAUAUGGUCUGGUCCCAGAUCCUGCAACCAGAAUUCAUGUGAAUUGAUUUGCCUGGAAGUAGUGCAGGACUUAACAACCUCUGGACAACAACUGGGAACUCCCAAUACCACCAAACAACUACAAAACUAUGGACUGAUGUUAGGAGAGUAAGAGCGAUACUGAGACCCACAACCCACAGUGUUGUUUCACACUAAUUCACCCCAAGGAAUUUAUUAAGGAGAACCUCAGUUAUCCCGCCUCAGAGGCAGGUCGCAACACAGGUAGUCCUCAAAACAGGUCCUCAUUGUCUGGAUAAGAAAUGAAAAAAAAAAAAAAGUUGGUUUGCACCAUUCUGUAUAUCCUUCCUAUGUAAUACUUAUCCCCUUUCACUUAAUCCACAGGAGCAAUCAUCUGACUUUGGGAGGUGUGAAGGAUAACCAUCUCCCGACACUUCAGUGAGCAAUCUGAAGUACACAUCAAUUGUACUUUAGACUUGGCCCUGUUCCAUUGCUGCCAAAGCAGAUUUUAAUGUUGCAACAAAUGGUGGAGGACUGGAGUGGUCCAAAAUCCCAAAAAUUGACCAAAUUUGUGAAGUCUGGCACCUGUUUGUAAUUAGAAA